rnacentral:lncRNA from 1 species
AAUGCUCAGGUAUCGGCCGCUUCGGGAGGGAUGAGGGACCUCGCAACCAUAUCUUGGACUGGGCAUCCCCUGCCUCCCCGUCCCCCUCCUGCUCCUGCUGCUCCUCCUCCGCCGCCUCCUCGUCCCCAGAGGCGUGUGCGGAAGGUACCUCCUCCUCCUUCCUCCUUCCUCCACCUCCACCUCAGGNNNNNNNNNNNNNNNNNNNNNNNNNNNNNNNNNNNNNNNNNNNNNNNNNNNNNNNNNNNNNNNNNNNNNNNNNNNNNNNNNNNNNNNNNNNNNNNNNNNNNNNNNNNNNNNNNNNNNNNNNNNNNNNNNNNNNNNNNNNNNNNNNNNNNNNNNNNNNNNNNNNNNNNNNNNNNNNNNNNNNNNNNNNNNNNNNNNNNNNNNNNNNNNNNNNNNNNNNNNNNNNNNNNNNNNNNNNNNNNNNNNNNNNNNNNNNNNNNNNNNNNNNNNNNNNNNNNNNNNNNNNNNNNNNNNNNNNNNNNNNNNNNNNNNNNNNNNNNNNNNNNNNNNNNNNNNNNNNNNNNNNNNNNNNNNNNNNNNNNNNNNNNNNNNNNNNNNNNNNNNNNNNNNNNNNNNNNNNNNNNNNNNNNNNNNNNNNNNNNNNNNNNNNNNNNNNNNNNNNNNNNNNNNNNNNNNNNNNNNNNNNNNNNNNNNNNNNNNNNNNUCACAUCGACAUGAGCUCCUCAUACCGCCCACAUUGCUUAAUGACCUGCAAUUAAAAAGAGUACACGAGUCAGCAUAGGCAAACAAAACAUAAUUACAAAGAUAUGCAAAUUAUAAUUAAAUUAUAACUAAAUUAGUACGAAUCAUACAUGUAUUAGAAAUAAUCAUCAUGAUCGGGAUUAGCUGGAUCAUAAGUCUCAUCAUCACUAUCACGCGUGUCGAUAUAGUCAAGCUCGUGCUCCGAAGAAGGAAUGUCGUCAUCACUGUCAUUAGCGAACUGUUGAGCCACAAUAUAGACAUCGUCUCCUGGUAACCUGGAUGACUGUCGAAUUUCGACUAGCCCAAGGUUAGGGGCCCGUCUCACGACAGAUGGAUCAAACCAAUGGCAUUUGAAUAUAACUGGAUUAAGAGGUUUGCACCCAUGAAAAGUGAGUUCGUAUAUUUCUUCAAUUCUUCCGUAGUACUCGACCCCAUCGGAGCCUGGCGUGAAAACUCCGGUAUUUGUGGUUCUUCGAUUGGGCUGACUCUGCUCGUGCGUUGUUGUGUGAAACCUAUAUCCGUUGACGUCAUAACCAGCAAACGACCUGACUCUAUAGUCACAGCCAUCGGCAACCUGUCUCAACUCGACAUUCAUAGACGCAUCGGUUCGGCCCUGCAAGUUCAAACAGGGCGGUUCGUUAUAUUAAUCGUAUGCACGAGAACGAGAAUGUUCGAAGAAAUGAAAUUGUACCUUCUGUUUGAACCAAGAAAUGAAAUCGGGCAUUCCAUUUCCCGCACCCUCUUUAAGAAGAGUCUCAGCUUCGUGCGGGUACGGUUGCCUUGAUUUACGCCAGAAUUGACGAUGAAAUUGCCUAUACCAACGAGAAAGAUACGUUUAGGCAAGAGAUACCAUUACUACGUCGAAACAAGUUCGUCGAUGACUUACAUCAUGUACGGCUCCACUUCAGAUAGGUUGGUCAACACAUACAGCAUGAUAGAGCGCCACUCUUCAUGGUUAAGGGUCUUGCGGGUCGCACCACUUGCACUUCCGAGUUGCCCUCGGAAAAUGCUAAGGCUUAAUUCAUCUUCGCUGGCAUUGUAACGAGGAGGUGGAUUAUGCACGCUAGGAAGGUUGUCAGCGUAGUAUUUCGAUGUGAAGUUUGACACCUCCUCCAGAAUGUAUGCCUCUGCAAUGGAUGCUUCAAUUUUGACACUUAUUCUUACAUUUAGUUCGAAGAACCUUUUGACAUCUCUCAAUUGAGUAGCACCAACGACCCUGCACAGGCCCCCCCAUUCGUGCUUCAUACGGGAGGUGUAGAAUCAUAUGCUGCAUUGGAUUGAAGAAGCCUGGAGGAAAGAUCUUCUCCAACUUACAGAGCAACACAGGCACCAUUGUUUCCAAUUCUGCAACCACGGUACGAGAUAACUCCUUCGCACAAAGCCGGCGGAAGAAAUUGCUCAACUCCGCUAGCACCUGCCACACAUGCUCAGGUACAUAGCCUCGAACCAUCACCGGAAGUAGGCGCUCAAGCCAUAUAUGGUAAUCAUGACUCUUGAGCCCGUUGAUUCUCAUAGUUGCUAAAUUCACUCCCUCUUCAAGUUUGCUGCAUAGCCAUCAGGGAACAUUAACGUUUGGAACCAUUCUAGGACCUCCCUCCUUUGGGCCCUCGUCAGAACGAAAUCGGCCUUAGGCUUCCUCCACGACUUGCCAGCUCUUGGAGGCGCCAUGUUUAGCUGUGGUCUGUUGCACAAUGUCGCUUGAUCCACUCUAGCCUUAACGUUAUCCUUUGUCUUGUCAGGAAUGUCCAUUAUUGUACCAAAAAUUGCCUCGGCGAUAUUUUUUUCCGUGUGCAUUACAUCAAUGUUAUGUGGAACAAGGAGAUCAUCAAAAUAGGAAAGCUUCCACAAGCACGACUUCUGCGUCCAAGCAUGUUGCUCGCCAUAUCCUAAAAAACCACCUUCCUCAUUAUUAACCUCAAGAGCGUCUAACUGAGCACGAACUGCAGCCCCUGUCAUCAUCGGCGGUGCGGGGGCUGUAACUACAACAUCUUUGGUAAAGUUCUUGAUGUCUCGUCUAAAUGGAUGGUCAGGAGGGAGGAAUUGUCGAUGUUUGUCGAACGAAGAAUAUUUGCCACCUUUCGACAACCAAAUGAACUUCAAAGAUGCUUUACAUACUGGGCAUGGGAACUUCCCGUGAACACACCAUCCGGAGAAAAUCCCAUAUGCCGGCAAGUCAUGCAGUGAGUACUGGUACCAAACAUGCAUCUUGAAGUUUAUCUUUGUGGAUCGGUCAUAGGUCCAUACCCCUUCCUCCCAAGCACGGAGCAAAUCAUCAAUCAAAGGCUCCAUAUACACACUCAUAUUAUUCCCCGGAUGCUCUGGAAUCAUCAACGACAAGAAUAUAUUAUGUCGUUGAAAUAGGACGCCGGGUGGGAGAUUCAGGGGGAUAACGAAAAUGGGCCAACAGGUGUACGGGGCGGCCGCCAUUCCAUAAGGAUUGAACCCAUCAGUUGCCAACGCAACGCGUACGUUACGGGCCUCUAGAGCUUUUGCAGGAUAAAUCGCAUCAAAGCUUCUCCAGGCUUCAGCAUCGGAUGGGUGUACCAGCUUCUCAGGAUUAUAGCGACGGCCAUUUUUGUGCCAUGUCAUCUAUUUCGCGGAUUCUUCAGUCAUGAAAAGCCAUUGGAUCCUCGGUAUGAAAGAAAGAUACCGUAGAACCUUCACAGGAAUUGCGAGCUGCUUUUUCUGACCGUCACCGUAGUCAACCUCCAGAAAUCUAGACGAUUCACACUUCACACAGUAUUUUGCUUCCGCAUACUCUUUCCUAAAUAAGAUGCAUCCUUUCGGGCAAGCAUGUAUAUGCUCGUAUGGCAUCUUAAGUGCACGAAGGAGUUUCUGUGCCUCAUACAUGCUCUUUGGCAAGAUGUGACCAACCGGGAGCAGGCUUCCAAAAACUGUCAACAUAAUAUCAAACGCGUCUCGACUCAAACUAAACUGAGACUUCACAGCCGUUAGGCGUGCAAUGGCAUCUAGCUGAGAAACCUUGGUAUUGCCGUGAAGGGGUUGCUGUGCCGCAGACAACAUUUCGUAAUAAGCUUUAGCGGUAGCCUCUGGCUCCUCCUCCCUACGUGCCUCUUCGAAGUGUGCUUCAUGAUAGUCAUUUAACAUGUUUCCCACCCCGGCAUCAUCAUCAAAUUUCUCGAUGCGUUGUCUCAAGACCUCCUCUCUCCCACGGUCAGAUUCACCAUGGUAGAUCCACCUGGUGUAGUCUGACGUAAAUCCGUUCUUCACCAGAUGUUUGCCCAUGUCUAGCUUGGUUUGCCGACGCAUGUUUCCACAUUUGCUGCACGGACACCAAGUCGAUCGAGCUCCAUUGACACUUGCAAACGCCCGUUCCAAGAAAGCAUCCGUCUUGUCAAGCCAUUCAUUGGUCAACGUAUUCUGACUAGUGCGACCCGUGUACAUCCACUGACGAUCCUCCAUCCUCUACCAUUUAAAUAAGUAAUACAAAAUUCACAUUGCAUAUACACGUUCCUAUAUUGUCUACUAGGUAAAGAUAGGUCCUAAUCCCACCCGAGGAUGUGUAGGUGGGUUUAGUAUCCAUGGUCUACUCCGACCCGAGAUANNNNNNNNNNNNNNNNNNNNNNNNNNNNNNNNNNNNNNNNNNNNNNNNNNNNNNNNNNNNNNNNNNNNNNNNNNNNNNNNNNNNNNNNNNNNNNNNNNNNNNNNNNNNAAUAGACCAUGGAUACUAAACCCACCUACACAUCCUCGGGCUGUCCAAAAAACGUGGACAAUUCAAAACAGAUACGAUUAUAGAUAUGCAAAGAUCUGCAUAUUUCCAACCGUAUCUCUUUCGAACGGGAGACGCCUAACUAGGUUACGUGAUAUACGAACAUUAUACGGAAAGAGAGGUGUAGCAUGCCUCACCUUGCUAUCCUGCAAAGUGACGAGUCGAGGACGGUCCUUGUAAGCCUCUCCUGCAACAAAAGAAACAAAGCAUUGUUUAAGUCAAAAUUUCGGCAGCACCUCCCCUGCACGGGGAGGUUUCCAAAACUUGCAACAUAAUAAACGGCACGAUAGCCGACAACCACAAUCUCACCAAAGAGUUGGCACGAUGGCCAACAACCACAACCACAACCAACCACACCUCUAUUCUUUUCAACAUUUUCUAAUUUCUACUCUUCCUUCUUCUCGAAUUUUCUAAAUCCAUGCCUCUAAUUUCUAAAAUAAAUGCUACCACAUCCUACCACCUCUCUAAUAUUUUCAACAUUUAAUUUCUAAUUUCUAAUNNNNNNNNNNNNNNNNNNNNNNNNNNNNNNNNNNNNNNNNNNNNNNNNNNNNNNNNNNNNNNNNNNNNNNNNNNNNNNNNNNNNNNNNNNNNNNNNNNNNCUGAGGUGAUUGGUCGAGGACCGUACUCGGGAGAUUCCAUCAUUUCAUGGAUUUAUAGCUCAUAUUAAAUUUAUAUCUAUUAAAUUCAUAUACGUGCAAUUAAUGAAUAAAAAUUACCAAACGGAUCUGAAAAAUUCCCAAAAUUUGACAUCAACCAAUCUAUGUUCUCUAUAGCCUAUAAAAAAAAUUGGACUCAAUGAGAAAUACAUGUAUCGAUUCAUCUCAAAAUCUUACCGUAUCCUUCCAACUUCUACGAAUCCUCUCAGGAGAUGCUUCGAAUUCUAAACAUCAUAUGUCAAAACUUGUGCGAAACCUUGUCAAUUUUUUACCACAGCCUCUGCAUAUGAAAUCAUAGCAUCUUGCAAAAUCUCAUGAUUUUCAAACUUCGUUUGUAUUUUUGAGAAUUAAACAAUCAUUUGGCCACACGUUCGUAGUCGUGUUUCCUUAGCAAAAUGUUCGAAAUUUCUUUUCAUUUUCUGGGUGAGACCUCAAUUUGGACUCACUAACAUGAAUAUGAUUUUUCCACUCAUAUUAUUCCAUUAUUCCAACCACCUGCAGUUCGAAUUUGACUUAAAUCAAAAAAUUACUCUAAAUGAAAUUAAUUGAUUAAAUAUAGCAAACAGGUCAAAAAAUAGUCUACCUUCUACCAUGCCGUGCCAAAUUCCAUACAUGUGGAGUGUAAAAAGUUUGGAGGGUGGGGGAGGGAAAAAAAAUUACUUUUGCCGAGUGUGUCAAAAGACACUCGGCAAACCCUAUAGUAUGCCGAGUGUGCCCCCUAGCACUCGGCAUACUCGCCACUUUGCCGAGUGUCCCAUCACGACACUCGGCAAACUAGUGGCUUUGCCGAGUGCCCCCCGUAGACACUCGGCAAAGCCUAACGUCCGUCACGGAGCCGCGACGGCGGCGGCACGGGGAAGUCACGUGCUCGUCAGUUUGCCGAGUGUCCAUCUUUGCCGAGUGCCUCGUGGGUGUUUGCCGAGUGUUUUUUUGGCGGCACUCGGCAAACCGGUCUUUCGCCGAGUGUAUUAUGUUUGCCGAGUAUUUUUGGUAUUGCACUCGGCAAAUCGGUCCUUCGCCGAGUGCCCGAAAUAAUACACUCGGCGAAGUAAUUACACUCAGCAAAUUCGAGGUUUCCCGUAGUGGCUGAGCUGUUGAAUCACACCUAAAACAGUCUAAUCUUGUCUCCUAAACCUCAUUUUGUUAGGCUAAACAGCACAUAUGUUAAAGGGACUCCAUGGUCUCGCCCUGAGCUGCAGCCCGGGCAGCCCGGGCCCUAGAUCCGCCCCUCUCUCCUGUGUCUCUACACCCGCAUCUCCUAAGGACACGGCUUACAUAGUGCUCGAAUCCGCACAAACUCUUCAAUCAGUCGCGUGAAGGCACGCGCGACUUGCUCGUCCGUUAGCUAGCUAGGUUUUUUGCACACGCAUGGACGCGUACUUCUGCGCGUGACUGCUUGUUUCGUCGUGUGUCUACUUCAGCUACCUCGAACAAGGCCAACUCGCUACGCACACGACGAAGACAAUUCCGAGAACCGUUGUUUAUGCUUAUCCGUAUCAUGCAAGCAUGCUGCUAGGCAUCACUCGUGACGCCGUUGUUGUCUUCUUCCUCGGCGAGCUCUCAUGACCAGCUUGUUUAUAAUUUGUCUGGCUCGCCAAAAGCUGUAACGGCGCGGGCGAAUCGGUCGACGCGAGUGCAGCACAAACGUAUGCAUGGGACGGUUUUCGUUGACUAGAAUCGGUGUGGCUUAUCCUCUGGGCUUCGUUUUUGUUCGUGUGCAUGGACGCGAUCAGCACGUGCGAAGGAGAUGCCAAGAAAAUCGGACUGGCCGAGACGAAACUAGACGAUAUCGAUCGGACUCUGGCAUUUCGUGUUGAUCGAUCCAGACUCGAGAGGGCCGACGAAACUGGAAACAGACUGACUGUUAAUGGUCAUCGUUCUGCGAACAUGGAUUUUUCACAUCUACAUACAACCACAUUUACUGCCAGGACUAUUCGUUUUUGAACUAAUGGUGAUAUUGAUUAUGGGUAGUUAAAAAAAUAUGGGUAGGUGAAGAUACAUGGGUAAGUGAGGUGAAUCAACAGUUAGAUGAAGAAAUCAACAGAUAAGUCUUGUAGUCACAUGUGUGUAUGUAGUUUUGCAUUUUUCACGUUGAGUAGCCGUAGAUGAUGCAAUGAAACUUGGACACGGCAAACAAUGCAAAUUGUUCUUCCUACGCUAAAUUGCCGCCCCAGUAGGGAUUAUAUUUCUAGCAAAGCUUGCUUGUCAACAAACACCCUCUGCUCCUGACCGUGUGAAGAUCAAGACACUAGAGGGAAGAGAAUGAUAUGAUUGCUAGUGGCCGUACGUAUUCGGCAGGCAAAUUGAUUCUUUUACUGAAACCCCACCGACGAAGGAAAUUGAUUUUCCGAAUACAAGCUGACCCGGCAGCCGAUCGAACACGGGUGUCGGCUCAAAGCAAUUGUGACCGCACCUAAUUAAAAUUCAGGAACAUUUGGAAAGAGAAUAAACCACGAGCGUUAUUAUUAAUCGGAUGUUUUGGUAAAGAAUGUCACUGCGUCCAAUUAAAGGCCUAGAAGGGGGGCCAUGCCCCCACCCAAUCCUAAUUAAUGGUCUACUAUAGAUUGAUCUAACAUUAGAUUUUAGAUCAAAAUGAUCUACUCAUAGGCGGCUUUCCAGCAGCCCGCUUGUCCAACUAGCGGCUUCCUCUAGUGGUUUUGUUGCACACUACUCUGUUGGUAAUAAAGUCACUCUGCUAGCCCUCUGUGUUGCGGUUUCUCUCUGCUUCCCAUAAUUUAAGCCUAAUCUCGAUUUUACUUUUUGAUUUAAAUAUCAUGUUUCAGCACUAUGUUCACAACCACACGUUAUCAUUUUACAAAUAAAUGAGAUAUCUUACUAUUACUAAUUUGAGACUCCUUUUGAAGUUUACAGGUGAAGUCAUUUUAAAGGUGAAGUCAUAUAGGAUCCUAGGUGGACACUCUAAAAAAAGAGAGAAAUCUUAGAAAUUCUCAGAAAAAAAGCAAAACAUCUAACCUCAAUUAGUAGACUCAAAUCACCAUGGCCCUUGGAUCUAUUAUGUUUUUCGAAAAAUUACCCACCUAUUCCAUUAUAAAAAUAGUCUAAAGUAACCCCUAAAUCUAUAUCUAAAUUAUUCGCAUCUGUCAUUAUAUAAAAUAAACUAAAAUAACCCCUAACCUUCAUCUAAAAUGCCCACUUAUGCCAUUAUCCGCUCGCAAGUCCUCCUCCCUCCCCCGUAGACUCACCCAGCCGGAUCCCCUCUCCCUCCCUCCCUCGCAGAUCUCAACCUUCUCCCUCCCUCUCCUACCUCCCAGGACAGAUCUCAACCCCUCUCCUAACUAUGCCACCGCUCCCCUCCCCUCCUCACACCCCUCACUCACCGGUUGCAGUGAGAAUUUUAAUCUAUUUGGUCAGAUAGUAGGACCAUAGGAAAACAUUCAAUUCAGUCCAUAGUUAAUUUUAAUCGACGAAGACAAUUCUUAGAACCUGUUUAUGCUUAUCCGUAUCAUGCAAGCAUGCUGCUAGGCAUCACUCGUGACGCCGUUGUUGUCUUCUUCCUCGGCGAGCUCUCGAUGACCAGUUCGUUUAUUUGUCUGGUUCGCCAAAAGCUAUAACGUACGAAAGUGACGCCACGAAGCUCGGACUGGCCGAGACGAUAUAUAUCGAUCGGACUCUGACAUUUCUUGUUGAUCGAUCAAGACUGGAGAGGUGCCGGGGAAAGGGACCGGCUGUCAAUUGUCACGUUCGGCAGCCGUUUCGAUGAUGGAAUGAAACCCGGACACGUCGCCAAACAAUGCAAACUGUUCUUCCGACGCUAGGGUGCUGCCCCAGCAGGGAUUAAUUACUCCGUGUAUUUCUAGCAAGCUUCCUUGUCAACAAACAUGCUCUGCACCUGACCAAGACUGCAGAGGGAAAGAGACCGAUGAUAGAUUGCUACGAGUGGCCGUACGUAUCCGGCAGGCCUUUUGAUUCAUGCACUGAAACCCCGCCGACGAAGGAAAUUUAUUUUCGGAGUACACUGUAUUGUAUCAGUGCUGACCUGCUGGCAGAUAUAAUUUUAUUUCAAUCGAGGCUGUCAAAAACAACUGGUUCCUGAUGGUGGUGAAUGACGAUUGACAAUAUUGUGACUGUGCACCUAAUUAAAAUUUCAGGAACAUUUGGAAGUUGGAAUGAACCACGUGCGUUAAUUCGAUGUUGGUAAAUAAAUUAUUUAUGGAGUGUCACUGUGUCACGUAAUGUCGAGACUACCCUUAUUAGUUGGAUCAACUAGUUAUCAACCUAUUUAUGCAGUGAGUGUGUCACGUAAUCUCGACAUUACCACUACGCCACAAAAAUUUUUGCUGGCGGUAAAAACCGGUUUGUGCUGGCGGGCUCGGCUGUCAGCACAAAUGGUCUUUGUACUGGCGGGUAUCCACCCACCAGUACAGUUCCAAUUUACGCUGGCAAGUGCUUAGAUAGCUCGUCAGCACAGAUGUUUUUAGGAUAAUAAAAAAAGUAGCACCGCAACCGCGGCCACGACGCCGCUCAUCGUCGGAGCCCACCGCUCCUGGAGACCCACCGCUCGCCAACACCGCUCCCGCUCCUGGAGACCCCAUCGCCCACCGGCCGCUCCCGCUUUUGGAGACCCCGUCGUCCACCGACCACCCGCUGACGCCGCUCCCGCUCAUGGAGACACCGUCGCCUGCUGGCGCCCACGCUCGCUCCUGGAGACCCCGUCGCCCGUCGCUGCCGCCCACUGCUCCCGCCGAAGCCGCGCCCAUUGGCCGCCCGCCGCCCGCCAAAGCUGCCGCCGCUGCUCCCACCAAGGCCGCGCCCACUGGCCACCUGCCGCCCGCCGAAGGCGCCACCACUCCCACUGAAGCCGCCACUCACACCGCCCACCGGCCGCCACCGCUCUUGGAGCCGCCGCCGCUCCCCCACCCCACCGACUGCCGCUCCCGCCAAGGCCGCGCCCACCGCCCGCCCGCCGCUCCCCCAGCCCACUGGCCGCCGCCGCUCCCCCGCCCCCACCAACCGCCGCUCCUAGAGCUACGCCCACCACGAGGAGAUAAAAUAAAGAUAAGGCCAGCCGCGCUCACCACAAGGAGAUAAGAUAAGGGAGAUGUGGUGAGCUUUGUGCUGGCGAGUGCUUAGGUAGCCCGCCAGCACAGAGCCAUCUAUGCUGGCGGGCACUAGCCCGGUGGUCCCGAUCACAUUUAUGGUGGCGAGUGCUAAUUCCGCCAUCAGCACGCUAGUUUCAACAUGCCAGCACAAAUCAUUUCUGGCGUAGUGUACUCUUAUUUGGAUUAUGCAAUUAUCAUGUGAAACACUAGUAAAGGAGAAAAGAUGGGAACCCACAACAUACUCCAAGAGCAGCGUGGCAGAGAUAAGGGAGGCCUAGAAGGGGCCAAUGCCCCCCACCCCGUCCUAUUGGUCUAUUAUGCAUUGAUUGAUAUAGUAUUAUAGUUAACUACAGUUGAUUUUAAAUAGAACUGAUCUACUCAUAUUUAAAAUAAAAACGAUUUACUCAUAUUUUUUAAAUUUAAAUGAUCUACUCACAUGCGGCUUCAUCUACGAUUAAUCCGACUUCUUCUCCGGCAGCCAGCUUGUCCAACUGGUGGCUUCCUGUGGUCGUUUCAUUGCACAUAUCUAGGCAUUGUAACACUUCAUGCUGCUCUGCUGGCGAUCAGUUACUCUGCAAUAAUUUAGGCCUUCUAAUGAUGUUUUCCCAAUAAUUUACAUGAACCUCAGUUUUAUUUGUUAAAUUUCAACGUCAUGUUUCAUGUGUUCAGUACCAUGUUCGCAACCACAAGUCUUUGUUUUCAAAUAAACGAGACACUAUGCUAGAAAUACUCUUCUUAUUUUUGACCAUUUGUGAAAUUUGUUAUCCGUGUUAUGUUAAAAUGUAGUUGUGCAUUUUUCAUGCCAGGCCCAGCCCCUCUAAUUCCGGGUUCCAUCCAUGCCCAAGAGGGAUCAAGUGUAAUUCGCUUCCACAUGGUUGACAGCCCCAGAUGGACGGGUUCCUUGCUGGCCCUGUGCAGCCUGCUGCUGGUUUGCACACAGCUCCCAUUGUACGCGACGAGUAGUUGCUAGUUUGAACAAGCCGGGAGCGCGGGUGAUCUUGGUCGUCCCAGACAGAGGCGCGCGCGAUCUGGCCAUGCAGCCCGCAGCCCGAGAGCCCGGCACGAAGCACGUAUUUUUAGCCCGUACCUAGCCCGGCCCAGCCCGUAACUCUUCGGACUCGGGCUGGCCCGGCCCGCAUCAUCGUGCUGGGCGUGGGCCGUUGCCUCGGCCCGGCACGAAAAUGCUGUCCCGGCCCGUUGCCGGCCCGUCAAACGAGCAGCAGCCCAGCAGGCCGGCCCAGCAACGGUCGGGAGGGGGGCAUAUAUAAGCCCUCGCGGCCGGUGACGCCCCCCCCCCUUCGCAAACCCUACCCCAUUCUCCCCUCUGCCCGCUGCCUCCUCGCCUCCUUGUCUCCUCCGCUGUGCGCCUGCGCUCCAGGCUCCUCGCCUCCUCAGCUCCUCCUGUCCCGGCGAGUCGGCGACGGCCGACGGCGACCGGCGCGCCGCCUCCUCGCCUCGACUCCUCCCGUCCUCCGCUCCCAGCUCACCUCCUAAGGCAUCGCGUCCGCGCCCGCGCCUCCGCAGGGAGUACCUGACCGCCUGCCUGCCUCCCUGCCUCCCUGGUGCCUUCUGCCUUGCCGGCUUGCCACCGGCACCGGCGCACCGCCUCCUCACCUCGACUCCUCCGUUCCCUGCUCCUUUGACUCCUCUCGUUCCGCCUCCCUGGAUCUGGAUCUACAUUGAGAUCCUCCUGAUCCUUAGAUCUAGAUCCUCCCGAUCCUUAGAUCUAGAUCCUCCUGAUCCUCUUCUUGUUCUCCUGAUCUUGUUCCUGUCGUCCUCUCCAGCCCGGGCUGAGCCACUGAGGCGUCGCAGGUAUGUAGAUGAGUAGAUCCUCCUGAUCCAUUUCUUGUUCUCCUGAUGUAGAUCCUCCUAAUCGUGUUCUUAUUUUCCUGAUCCUCUUCUUGCAGGUAAUUGUCUUCUUCUCCUGCUCCGGGCUCCGGCGUCGCAUGUAACUGUCUUCUUGUUGUCCUCCUGAGUCCUGAUCCCCUUAUUUUUCUGCUAUCUGCUGAUCCUCUAGUUGUUCCUGAUCUUGUUCUCCUAUUUUUCUUGCAGGUAUCCGUCGCCCCGUCGGGUGCCGCGCGCCGUUGAGUGACGGAGCGGUUGAGGCCUGAGACCUGAGGGACGCCCCGGCCCCCGGCUGCCGCCUGCCCCAGGAGGUCGUCGUGAUGGACGAGAACUACACCAUCAACGAGGACCUAAGGGCCUGUGGCCUGCCAGGUAACAUCUUGUUGAUCCUCUUCUUGUUCUUGUUCUCCUGAUCAUCUUCUUGUUCCUAUCUUCCUGAUCCUCUUCUUGUUCCUGUCUUCCUGAUCCUCUUCUUGUUCUGUUCUACCAGGCGACGAUGAGGACGACGUGGCUGCCGGAGCCGUGCCACUCGUCGGUAGCUCUGCUGCUCCCGUCAAUGUGGAUGCUGCCGGUGACGGAGGUACUAUUCCACCUUCUACCCCAUCUUCUACCCCAACUACAUCAACGGGCACCAGUGUCCGCAAGGGGAAGCGGCGGUCUGCUGCCUGGAAUGACUUUGAGGAGUUGUUCCAGGAAGGCGACAACGGGAAGAAGGUAAGGUACGCUGCCAAGUGCCGUCAUUGUUCUCACAUUCUUACUGGCCGGUCUUGUGCUGGUACUGGCCAUUUGCUCCGGCACCAGAAGAUGUGCUUGGCUAAACAAAACCAUUCUUCUCUUGUUCAGUCGCAACUGCAAUUCCAUUCUGAUGGCUCAAUUAUUAAUUGGGAAUACAAGCCCGAUCUUGCUCGCAAAGAAUUGUGCCGGUUGAUUGCUAGACUUGAUCUUCCCCUAGGCUUUGGUGAGACAGAGGCAUUUGUGGAGUACAUCCAGCGUGCUCAUAACCCUCGUUUUGCUAAAGUUUCUAGAGAGACCACUUCUAGAGAUCUUGCCAAGUUCUUUGGCGAGCGUCGUCUUUCUCUUGUUGAUACUUUGAAGUCUCAUGUUUUUUCUGUUUGUCUUACUUCUGAUAUUUGGUCAGGGAAUGCCAAGGAGGACUACCUUAGUGUUGUUGCACAUUUUGUUUCUGCUGAUUGGGAAUUAGAGAAGAGGGUCAUUGCUCUUAGGUUGAUUGAUUGCUCCCAUUCUGGUGUUAACAUUGCUGAGCGUAUUGAACAAGUUGUUUCUGAGUUUGGUUUACAAGAUAAAAUUUUCUCUAUCACACUUGACAAUGCUUCUGCUAAUACUUCUGCCAUGUCCACACUUAUUCCCAAAUUUGUUGGUUAUCUAGGUCCAGAUCCUGAACCUCUUGAUUCUGAUUCUGAUUCUGAUAAAGCACUUGUUGGUCUUUUGCAUCAACGUUGUGCAUGUCAUAUUAUCAAUCUCAUAGUCAAGUCUGGUUUGAAGAGGAUCAAGGCUUAUCUUGAGGCUUUUAGGACUGCAAUCUCUUUUUUGAACUCUUCUAAUCAACGUAUUGCAGCUUUCCAUAACUUCUGCAUUGUCAAGGGGGUACGCCCUCGUAAGUUUGGUUUAGAUAUCGAUGUGAGAUGGAAUUCUACAUAUCUCAUGCUCAAACAUCUACUACCAUAUAAGAAUGUCUUUUCUGUCUUUAUUUCUGCUCAUUAUGUGCACAAUGGCCAGCCACUUCUGACUGAAAACCAUUGGGUAAUUGUUGAGAAAAUUUUGCUAUUCCUUGAAAUGUUUUAUGAUUCCACUGUUGCUUUAUCUGGUGUUUACUAUCCAACAAGUCCUUUGAUGUUGCAUCAUAUUAUUGAGAUUGCUGGCCAUUUGCAUGGCCAAGAUUCUGAUCCAUUGCUCAGAAAUAUUAUUAUUCCCAUGAAGCUUAAGUUUCUCAAGUAUUGGCAGAACAUACCUCUGUUGUAUUCCUUUGCAUUCAUUUUGGAUCCUAGAGCCAAGGUGAGAGGUUUUCAUAAUGUUCUCUAACUUCUUUCUCAGAUAGUUGGUGUUGAUUACUCUUCUUAUUUCACUAAGGUAAGAACUCAAUUACAUAAGUUGUUUAACAAGUAUGAAAACAAGUUUGGUGCAGUUCAAUCGCAAAGGCCCGCUCAACCUUCAGCUGCUACUGGUAAGAAAAGAACAGCAUGGGGUAAGAUCUUUGGUGGUCCUGGUACAUGUGGUUCUCCUGUUCUUUCAUCUACACCUCCUAUAUCUCCUGCUUCAGAGCUGUCAUCCUACUUGGACAGUGAUACUAUUACUUGCUAUGACGAUGACUUCAACAUACUUAGUUGGUGGCAUGAGCACAAGCUAUCCUAUCCUAUUUUGUCCAUACUUGCUAAAGAUGUUAUGUCUGUUUCAGUUUCCACUGUUUCUUCGGAAUCUUGUUUUAGUCUAACUGGUAGGGUGAUUGAGGAGCGGCGCCGACGGCUUACAAAUGCCCCUACCCAGACAUGGAUGAAGGCCAAGCUAGUCAGUAAGUCCAUUACUAACUUAUUACUCAUCUUGUUCAUUUGUUAAACACUUUGAAUUGCAAACACUAAUGCUAUUGGCCUGUUGUGCUUGUGCACCUCUAGGCCUACCCCAGGACCAGGAGCAAGCUGAAGGCUGAAGCCUGCUGCCUGUUGGACUUGGAGACUUGGAUUGUUGGUCUAUUGCGGUGUUGCCUGAAUGCCUGUUGGAGUUUUGGUGUUGGCUUGGCGGCUUGGCCAGUUGUUCAUUAGAUGUUAUGUCUGUCAGUCUGUGUGUGUGUCUCAAACUCUUUGUAAUGUUGAAUUGAAACUGAGCUGGCUGUACUCUUUUUCCCUUCGUAGGGUUUUCUCACAAGGGUGAGUUUUUACCUAGGAAGGUUUUUAAUGAGGCAGCCAACACUUGAUCACACAGAUCAAGUGUUAACAGCUCUAAUAAUUCCUUUAUUAUGAUUUCUGACUUUCUGUGUCACUGUGUGAAUUGUGAUUGUGUCCAUGUGAUGAAUGUGUCAUGUCUGAUUAUGCCAACACUUGAAUACUUGAUUAACCGUCUAUUUUGAUUUUUGAAUGUUUGAUAAACUUGAAAAUUUUUGAAUGUGUCUGUGCUUUUUUCCUCUUGACGGGUUGUGGGCUGGCCCGACCCGUAAAAAUGGAUGGGCUCUUCGGGUCGGGCCGGCACGAAAAAGGCCUCACGGGCCCGUGCAUGGGCCAUCCCCACGGCCCGUGGGCUGGCCUGGCACGGCACGACGGUGUUACCGUAACGGGCCAGGCCCGGCACGAAAACGAACGGGCCAUGCCGGGCCCGUGCCGGACCGGGCCGGGCGGACCGAAUGGACACAUUGAUGCAUGGCAUCAUCCAUGGCGGAGAAACAGCUUCCUUUUGCACAUUUUCUAAGUCAGUUAAUGGUCAUCGAUCAACCAGAGAAAGCACACACUGAUCACCCACAUAGAGAAGGAUUAAUCCUAUAGAUAAGGGAACGCACUGCAUAUAUAUGUUUUACUGGUAAUGGACACAUAUAUACUCUAGUAGCAGCGAUGGAGUUGGGAUAUGCAUGCAUGGAGGGCAUCUGACUUGCAGCACAAUAGGCUCAAGGCUCGGUGAUAAUUGAACCCGACUGUUCUCAAUUUGUAAAUGCGCUGGGCAUGCACAGCUCCAGUGUUUCCUUUUUAGUGGUGCCAAGAGGAGAGAGAUUGAGAUGACAAAGGUGCAAUACACUGGAGUAAAGUUUGGAAGUUGUGUUAUGCUAGCACCUGGUGCAAACUUGAGCACCUGCUGCAAAGGAUUAGAAAAUAUUUCACCUCAUUUUCUAUGCUAUGUUGUUGCUUGUUCCUAUAGGGGAGGGAGAGAAAAGCACCCUGGGUGGGUAGAGAGAAGAAUCUUUUCAAUUUUAUUAUUUGGUUUAAUGGGUCCAGCAUGAGUGCUAAAUGUUAAAGUAAAACUAGAUUGGCUAGCACCUUCCGUGUGGGUCCCAUCUUAGCAUUAGCUAAGGUGCUAUGCGUUGUGGAUGCCUUGAAGAAGAGAAAGGAAUGGUCUGAAUUGAGCAUCGGAAAUGCAUUCCUAUGCCAUGCAGCCCGGGUUGGUUGUAUUUCUUUUUUUCUAAUUUGUAUAUGCUUCAAGGGAUGGAAUCUUAUCAACAUGAACUAGCAUAAAGCUAUCACUGGUACAGCUCACGGGAUGCCUUUUUGACCUAUUGUGUACACAUGUACAUGGGAACUGCACAUAUAUCAGUGUCGUUGAUUUCAAAAUUUUAAAAACUACCGUAACUCAUAUUCAUAUUUAUUAAUAUUAAUCUUAAUAUUAGGUUGAUAUCAUGGAACGACGUGUAUUCCGCCCGUACACUCGUGGUACCGUACAUGUUCUGGCCAUAUAAUCAUGUUUUUUUGACACAUAUACCUUAAGUACCAUAAAAACACACUAAAAAAUAAAAACGCAUCAUGAAACAACCAAAAUCACUACCCAAAAGAAGAAAACAAAUCGGAUGCCAUCUAAAUCAUAAAAAAAGAAAAUAACAAAUCUUUGAUGCAGGUACCAGCGGCGCCCUCGUCCUCACCAUAUAAUGUACACAUGAAUAGAUAUAAUGUACACAAGAAAAAAUAUAUAGUACCAAAAACCCUUCUCCAAACUGAUUUCAUCGCUUACCGAUUUCAUCUCUUACCUAAAUGAAAACCGAAGUGUCCAGAUCUGGUGGAGUCGGCAUAUGCAUGCGUAGAGGGCAUGUGACUUGCAGCACAAUGGGCUCAAGGUCCGGUGAUAAUUGAAUCCGACUGUUCUCAAUAUGUUAAUGCAUGCACUGGGCAUACGCAGCUCCAGCGUAUCCUUUUUAGUGGUGCCAAGAGGAGAGAGAUUGAGAUGACAAAGAUGCAAUAUACUGGAGUAAAGUUUGGAAGUUGUGUUAUGCUAGCACCUGGUGCAAACAUGAGCACACGGUGCAAAGGAUUAGAAAAUAUUUCACCUCGUUUUCUGUGCUAUGUUGUUGCUUGUUGGGGGGAGGGAGAGAAAAGCACCCUAGGUGGGUAGGGAGAAGAAUCUUUUCGACUUUAUUAUUUGGUUUUGUGGGUCCUGCAUGAGUGCUAAAUGUUGGAGUAAAACUAGACAGGCUAGCACCUUCCGCAUGGGUCCCAUCUUAGCAUUAGCUAAGGUGCUAUAUGCUGUGGAUGCCCUAAAGAAGAGAAAGGAAUGGUCUGAAUUGAGCUUCAUCAUCGGUAAUGCAUUCCGAUGGCCUGCAGUCUGGGUUGGUUGUAUUUCUUUUUUUCCUGAUUUGUACAUGCUUCAAGGGAUAUAAUCUUAUCAGCAUGAGCUGACAUAAAGCUGUCACUGGUACAGCCUAUAGGAUGCCUUUUUAACCUAUUGUGUACACAUAUAUAUGGGAACUGCACAUAUAUCAGUGUCAUUGAUUUCAAAAUUUUAAAAACUACCGUUACACAUGACUUGCACCCAUAUAAUAUGUAUUCAUAUUUAGUAAUAUUAAUCUUAAUAUUAGGUUGACAUCAUGGAACGAUGUGUGUUCCGUACAUACACACGUGGUACCACACAUGUUCUGCCCAUAAGAUCAUGUUUUUUUACAUGUAAGGUACCGCAUGUGCUCUCUGAUGUGGUACAUGUCAUAUUAUUUAAUUCAUGAAACAACAACACAUGAACAUAUAAUGAACAGCAGAUGAAUAUAUAAAAAGUAUGUUAAAAACAAAAUAACCAGAUAAACACACACGACCAUAAAACACACACAAAAAUAAAAACGCAUCAUGAAACAACCAAAAUCACUACCCAAAAGAAGAAAACAAAUCGGGACGCCAUCUAAAUCAUAAAAAAAAGAAAAUAAUAAAUCUCCGAUGUAGGUACCGGCGGCACUCGUCCUCACCACAUAAUGUACACAUGAACAAAUAUAAUGUACACAAGAAUAGAUAUAUACUUAAAAAAUCCUUCUCCAAACCGAUUUCAUUGCUUACCGAUUUCAUCUCUUACCUAAAUGAAAACCGGAGCGUCCUGAUCUAGUGGACUUGGCCUGACCACGUCGCCGCGGCUGGCGGCCUGCAACUCACACCAUGUCGCCCUGGAUCCGGCGUUGGCGGCCUCGUGCUCGCCCGGAUCCGGCAGGAGGAGAGAGAAGAGAGAAAGGAGAGAUUCAUAUGUUUUUAAAAUGCAUGUGCAGGACCGGUGGGUAUAUUUAUUAUGUAUAUUCUCAGUACAUGUAAGAUGUAAAUCUGUCCACCUAACAGCUUAUCGAAUCUCGAAAUGUACCACAAAGCAUAUGUGGAUGGACAUGAUAAAAUCUACCCGGACUUCCAGGUAUAUAUAGGGGGUGUUUGGAUACCUCCUGCUAAACUUAGCACAUGUCACAUCGGAUGUUUCGAUACUAAUUAAGAGUAUUAGACAUAGUCUAAUUAUAAAACUAAUUGCACAGAUGGAGUCUAAUUCAUGAGACAAAUCUAUUAAGCCUGAUUAGUCCAUGAUUUGACAAUGUGGUGCUACAGUAACCAUUUGCUAAUGAUGGAUUAAUUAGCCUUAAUAGAUUCGCCUUGCGAAUUAGACUCCAUAUGUGCAAUUAGUUUUGUAAUUAGCUCAUAUUUAGUUCUCCUAAUUAGCAUCCGGGCAUUUGAUGUGACCCUACUAAAGUUUAACACCUUGUAUCCAACAUUCCUGUAAUCUUGUUACUUCAUCAUUACUAAAGCUGUAGAGCUGUCCCAGUUGUUGAAUGACCGGAGGGUAGUGUAGGUAAAAGGACGGCACGUAUAAUGCUAUAGCAAAUGAAUCAGAACUAUAGAUUAGGUAGAAGUAAUGUGCAUAAUGCGAUUUGGUUAAGGCGGGCGCCAGCGUGCGUUACCGACGACUUUAUCAACAGCUAUCGGAAAUCUAUCUAGCCAAUAAAGCUCUCUUUUUAACCGGGGAAAAAAAAAAAGAGGAGCUGGCAGCUUUGGUAAUUUUUAAUCCCCACGAGCUAGACAUUGUAGAGCCUGACAAAGAUGGGCGUCAACAAUGUUUAGCUAGUGCCUAAUGCGCACUCAAGCAGGCAGUAGCAGCAGCACGUAGUGGUGGCAAGGAAUUAGGCCGCUUCCAUUCCAUAACAAGGGACGACGAAAUGACACCACGCUUGGUGGCCACUGCACAGAGCCGCCUGGUCCCACCAAAAGACACCACGCUUUAGUUUCUCCGAAAGCAGGCGGGCGGCCGGGGAGACAAGCUUCAACCCUGCAACCCUGUCCAGCACAAACUAGCACCUGAAUGAAAAGAAGAAAAACAGAGGAAGAGUAAAGCGGUCAGGAACACAAUGCAAAGGUAAAGAGAAAGCACGUAUCUGCGUGCUGCGUGCACGAAUAAAGAAAAGGGAGGGGAACGGUGUGCCAACCGACCGUCCAUGCCGAUCGAGGCUGGCUGGCUAGCGCGAUCGAUGUCGCUUGCUGCCAUACGUUCAUCCAUCACCAAGUAGCAUAUGAUGGAGCCUUGUGCCAUACGUUCAUCCAUCUUUCCGUUGGGCAGCUCACACUUACAGGAGAUCGACUGUUUGUUCUCUCGGUUUCCCCGAGCAGCAUCGCAUCGAUUGCAAAGCAGAGUGGAUGUAGUGUAGGUGGUGCGCGUACCAAGUCCUAGGCUACAGAACUGCACGGAUGAUCAUGAUAUCCUAAGAAUAAAGAGAUCGCACGAACGCACCGAAUAAGGAACGUACAGUACGCGCUUCAAAGGAAUCAUCAGCACCGUCACCUUUCCAACUGCCCCAAAGGAAAAGAAAUUAGGGAUGACGGAGAGGGUGACGAGCGACGGCCCUGAAACCGAUCGAUCACAGGCUCAAAGCAAAAGCGAGAGGAAGGAAGAAAAAGCUACUCCCCGUUCCUGCCUGCGUCUUUUCCCUGCCCAGACCGCACCGCGCACGCGGCUAUGCCGGUGCCUGCCAGUAGCAGCUGCCGCACGAUCUGGCGGGCGUCAUCGACUCGAUGAGCUAGCUGCCCUGCACCAUCAGCAGUUCAGCACUGGCUCAUCAGUGGAUGCGCUGCUCAAGGCACCAACGGUCACGCCAGGUCGCCAGCAACAGCGAGCAAGCUAGAUGCUGCUCCCAAAGAGCUGAGUGGAAGUGUAACCAGCUCAAGUGGUAUUGUUCAUCAAGAAAGAGAUGGUCACUGAGUUUCUCAGAGAAGUUAAAAAAACAGUUUCAUCUGCCUUUUGAUUCAUUAUUAUCUCGGUUUGUUAAACUGACCACACUUGAGUGUUUGAGUUUAUGGAAAACAAGUGAAGCUAGAAUUCGUAUAAACACCCUUUCAAACGGAUGCGCAGCGGUGCCCGUAAGCCGGGCAGCAGCGUAAGAGCAGUCCCAACCCAUGAAGUCCAUGAGCAAAGUCCAUCAUGCCAUGUCAUCAAGACAUCACUUGUUCCCUCUCCUCCCUUUCUCUCUUCCGUCCUCUCCUUUUCAUUCUCUUCCCAUCGGUGACAUCGCCAGGACAAGAACGUCGGGGGCCACGCCAUUGGCCGCAGAACAGGGCCCUGCCGCGGACACGUGGGUGGCGGCGCGGCGGACUGGCCACCAUGGCCGGCCUUGGCUCAGCGGCGGCGUCAGGGAUAAUGGUGGGUGGCGACAAGGGCCGGCCAUGCUUGUUCGGCGGCUCUAUCGCGCGGCGGCCCGUCGAGGCGAGGGGGGGCUGCGAGGAGCCGAGAGUCGAGGACCGUGGUGGGGCAUGCAAAACCGCGUGAGGAAGAAACUAUCCGGCCCUCAACGCGGAACCGCUGAUUUCUUGGUGCAUCAGACUGCGGGAUGACGUCGUUUCUGAUGGGAGAAACGGAUCUAUUUUGCUUAUCUGUCCUCGUUAAUUCCUGUGCAAUGUCAUCUCUUUUGUUUAUGUGUCACACUGUUUAAUGCUAUAUAAACUGGCUGACAUGCUCAGCAUGAGAUAAACAAGGCUGACGAGGAAGAUUUGCAUGCAAGAGAAAGAGGAGGCAAUACCCAUAUGCACAUUAGCGAGGGCAUCAGCAUCUGCAACUGCGAUUACGAUCACAAUUGCGUUGCAUCGCAAGCAACCACCAGUCCGCCACCACCAAAGCUGCUGACUGGACCAGAAGCCCAGAGCACAAUUUACUCGAUGCAGCUGUUGAAACUCAAAGCUGCAGACAGAGUGAGUGGCAGGCAGCACAGACCACAGAGUAGAUCCUGCUGUUCUUGCGUGCGUGUAUCUUUAUCUGCGUCCGUGCCAUGAUGACACUGGACAUUUAACACCGCCGCCUCGGGGAACGUGGCCGAUUCACUCGCGAUCUGUUCAGCUCGUCACGCGAAACAGAUCGUCAACGUCAACUCAUGAGACUUUGAUCCGUGAGAAAUAACAGCAGGUAGAAAACAGAGCAAGAACUCGGCUCAAUGAAGCAGAGCGAAAACAGAGGAAGACGAGACAGAGAGAGGGAUUGCAUGCGGAUCAAAGUAAUAAAAAAACAGAGGUUAAUUUCCUUUACAUCAGGGCUCGAUAUUCACCACCAUCCAAAAAGAACAGAACGAACGGGGUUAAGUAAAUCGGCCUAAUCUAUAGACGACUCUGGUGGGGUUGGUUGGCGAGAUCGCCGGAGCCGACUCACUCCCGCGCCGUGGACGACGACGCCAGCGGCGGCGGAUCACGCGGUCAGUUGGCGGCGACGUGGAUGGCGCCGUUCUUGGCUGCGAGGCAGACGGGGCAGGCGUCCGCCCGGGGCUCGCACGCCUUGCACAGGCACAGGUGACGGCACGGCAGCAGCAGCACCGACACCUCGCCGCCGCCGCACGCCCGGCACGCCCACCUGCUCGCCGCCGCCGGGGACGACGUGGCCGCGCACGCGCCGGCGCCGUCCUCGGCCUCGACGAAGAAGCGGGACUCCGCGUCGUCCGCCGCGGCGGCGAUGCAGGGGUCGGAGUCGCCGAAGCCCUCCUCGGCGGGCUGAAUCGCCGGGGCACCAGCCCCGCCGCCGCGGAGGAGGAGGGUGUCGAGCGCGGCGCGGAGCCCCGACGCGACGGCCUCGUUGCUGCGCGCCACGCCGCACCACGCCUGGCUCUCGGCGGCGGCCUGCCGCAGCCGCUCCUCGAGCUCCGCCGCGCGGCGGCGCGCGGCGUCCAGCUCGGCCUCCUUCGCGCGCAGCAGCCGCGCCGCGCCCGCCGCCGCGCCGCGCACCAGCGCCUGGCGCUGCCGCUUGUGCGCCUGCUCCAACCCGGCGCGAAGGCGAUCGCACUCGGCGCGCACCAGCGCGUCCACCUCCGCGCCCUGCUGGCACAGCUCCGCCACCAGCGCGUCCGCCACCGACACCGUGGCCGGCCGCCCGCUGGUCGACGCCGUCGCGGAAUCCACCAUCCGGUUCGCGGUCGCCGCCGGCGAGGGCGAGCGCUGCGCGACGACAGCCUCCUGCAUCCCCGGGAUCGGCAGAAGCGCCGCCGACCAGGAUGUCACGUACUGCUCGAACUCAUCCUCCCUGCCGCGCUUCCGCGACGGCAGCGCCACGCCACCGCCGUUGCACGUCAGCUCGCUCUGCGCGGCGCUGACCACGCCGGCGGCGCAGUUGUACUGGUACGCAUUGUUGCCCGCGGCAGCUGACAGGAGCGCGCGCAUCUGCUCGUCGGCCAAUCCGCCGCCGCCGCCGUAAGGCGGCAGGCAGCCGGCGAGGCCGGCGAACUGCGCUUCCACGGCCAUGUCGCCAAGUCUUCUUCUUAUGAGGGACGGAGAGCAGAGGGGAGGCGACGAGACGAGAUCAAGGCUCAAGAGAUGGCCGGAGGGAAGGGUAGAGGAGGAAGAGCCUGGAGGCUGGAGCUAUAUAAAGCGGCGGAGGUGGCGACGCGCGGUUACCAGCUUACCGCAAUAAUGGCGCGCCUGCCGCAACGGCCGAGACAAGUUCGCCGUGGUGGGCCCCACCACACGCCUCACAGCUCGGAAUGCGUAUGCUACUGCUGCUGCUGCCGCAGUCUACAGGUGGGGAUGGAUAUGCACACGCCAACUAUUUUGUGAUCUAUAAUUAAACAGAGUUGUUGUGACAUUAUUUUUUCAUAUUAUUUAUUGAUUCCAACUCGCUAAGAGUUGAAUUUGACUAUCUCACAGUGUCUAUGAAAAGCAUCUUUAUAUUAGAAAAAAAAUAUGUUGCUGAAUUUGCAGGUGUCUGAUGACAGCCAGCACUUCUGACCAUGAAGAGAUUAUCUAAUUCCAAUAGCUUGUCUGCUACUUACACAAUCAACAAAUAAAAGAAUAGUACUGCCCUUUUCAAAAAAAAAGAUAGUACUCAACUUGGUCAGAUGGAUCUGCAAUCUAUUCAAGAAAAUAUUCUGAUAAUAGAAUCAAGUAAACAACAGGUACAUGGAUGAGCUUGAAAGACUCUUUUAAACAUAAUUUAUACAUAGUAUGAGUAUUUUAUAUUUAUAUAUUAGUAUAAUAAGUGCAUUGUGAUCUCCUCCACUACAAUGAUCUAUCAGCCUAGCUGGGCGGCACAGGUUGGAUUCAACGUUGGCAAGACAUGUGCAUGUGAUGGUGGCAAGCGAACCAAACCCAAAACGAUCUGUCAGAGCUAGCAAAUGCCAAAUCUUAUCUAGCUAAACAAAUCCGCCCAGCAAUGAUGCUUGAUGUGAUUCCUUAAAAUGGAUAUAGAUUAUGUGAAGCACUUUCCUGUGUCUGCUUGCUGUUGAAGUACCUUUACAUAUAUACCACUAAUCUUACAUAAUCACUUAACUCACCAUCUAAUUUAACCUACAAGCAAGCUCCUCCAUGCAUCAUGAUCCAAGAUAUAGUACAUAUACAUCUAUGGCUUUGAUAGUCAUCAUAUAGUUGGCGAAUCAGUGCAAUAAUCUGGACUAUGAUUUGGACCGGUGCAAUAAUCUUCUGGUCCCAAAGUAAUGCUGAUGCAUUUAUGAUGUCUAUGGGUUUUAAUUGGUGAAAACUCCAAGGCAUAUUAACAAUUUUUUAUUAGUGAAGUUUGUAGGACACGAUAAUAUAUUCCAAUGUGGGUAUCUAUGCAUUACAAGCAAAGUUUCAAUUAAUUUCCAAGAUUUCUAGAUUUUUUUUACUUUCAAUGAACAUGGAUGCUAUCUUCUUCUUAAUGAAUGAUUGCUCACAAAUUAGAGCUAUAAGUAGAUUUAGUGGGUUUUAAAAAUAAGUAGAUUUAUUAACAUGUCAAAGCAUCACGUAAAAUUAAAAGAUUGAAAAUAACAUAGCAAAAGUACAGAUAUAUUAGCAUACAAUGUAUUACAAAACUACUCCAACAUAUAUGAGUGUGCAGGUGGAUCGCAAAAUCUUGUCGUAAAUAUUACUUAGCACCAGAAAAAGGAGAUUCCCCGUAUCAAAUAAUGCACUUUCAUCAUGUUAGACACCACCAGCAUGUCAUUAUUGGAAUCGACACAAGUGGGAAACGAUGUUUGGAAUCUAUAAACUCCUGAUUAAGAACAUCACUGGAAGACCAUUUUAGCUUUUCCACAUCCUUAUUAGAAUAGACAGUCAAAAUCUCGACAUCCUUAGAAUAGACAAGUCAAGUUGCAAUCAAUCCUUAAUUAAUCAGAUCGAAAAAUUCCCACCUUUCUCUAUUGGCAAGAUGUCAUUGGGGCAAAUUUUGUACUACCUGUCUCCCUCAAAUGCAUUAUUGGACCUCCGAUCCCUAGCUCGAUUCAUGUGUCUUGCUGUCGAAGUACCUUUAUGCUCCACUUAAUAACUCGCCACCCAAUUUGACCAGAAAGCUCCUCCAUGCACGCAUCGUGAUCCAAGAAAAAAAAAUAAUGUAUGUAUACAUAUAUGGCUUUUAUAUAGUCAUCAUAGUUGGCGAAUCAGUUGAUUUGUGUACGAACCAGCAAAUAAUGGCUCCAUUUUAGGAAAUUUCCUAACACCCACUGUCAUCAUUGCUGUCGUGUCACUAAGUAGAAAAAUGACAUUCCAUCUUCAACAAAAAUCUGGGUCGUUUUUGACUCGGGACUAAAGCCUCUUUAGUCCUGGGGUCUAAAUUUCGUGGUCACGUGGAGACCCUUUUGUCCCGGUUGGUGUUACCAACUGAGACUAAAGGGUCCCCUACGGAUGCAUUCAAAAUGAUAGCAUCCUCUACUCAGUUGGAUGUGUUGUGUAGGUGAGAUGGUAAGUAAGCUACGUGCGAGGUAAGAGGUUGCGAAUUCGAAUCCCGCGGACGCGCAUAUUUCGCGUGACUUGUGACUUGGGGUCAUGUGCGUGGGGAGCCUCCUGGGAAUUAACAACUGGGACUAAAUGUUUGUCUUUAGUCCCGGGUGAAAGACCCAGGACUACAGAGGGGACCUUUAGUCCCUAAUACCCGUGCACGCGCAUAUUUUGCGUGACUUGUGACUUGGGGACAUGCGCGUGGGGGAGCCUCCUGGGAAUUUAGAAUUUUUUUUAGCGCAAAAACCCUUACCAACUGGGACUAAAUGUUUGUCUUUAGUCCCGAGUGAAAGACCCAGGACUAUAGAGGGGACCUUUAGUCCCGAAUAAUUAAGCCUGGUUGGAUUUUCGAGAUCUAUGCGUCUCUCCAACCGGAACUAAUCCUCAAUUUUCUACGGUGUGUGUGUAUGGACUGAACGCACUGCACGUUAUCAGAAAUAUUCUUGAUUUGAGUAUCAACGAAAAUGGUCUAUGUGCGUGCAUGUGCAUACCUGCACAAAAGUCCCAAACUUUUCUUCCUGUUUUUUUUUCUCUCAAUUCCACGACAUAUCUUAUUCUGCAAGGUUGGAUUAGUUGUGUUGGCACUUAUCUUUGAGUGACGACACACAUCAAUUAUAUGGAAUUCAAAAUGGUAACCUUAUCGACAGCACCAUGAGAGGGUGACCAUGACCUGACCUGCUGCACAUGAUACUAGCUUAAUAAGGAGAUUGGGACUGCAUCAUGCAUGUGGGUUGAAUAAUUGAGAAAACGGCGAUGCCGGCGGGUGUCAGCUUGCUCUGAAGCUUCAAGGUAACGGUACUUUUUAGAAGAAGAUUUGGAAGUAUUUGCAAUUAGAAAAUGAAGUGGCUUGGAAUGAUCGUGAGACGCCACCGCUACACACGCACAAAUGUCAGCAUUUUGGAGAAACGACAGCCGGGAUGAAACAUGAAAGCGAAGUAUGGAGAGGCGGGCUACUAGGUCAUCGCCUCCUAUUCUAAGAACGUGUGGAACAUCAGUGAAAAAGACGAGAUAGCUAGGAAGCAAUCGUCAACAAGGGCUAGUUAGCGCACCCGCAGUUUCUGAAAAGAUGGUUGGUGAAGAUGCUAGAGUUAUUAAAAAAGGAGGGUACAUAAAUGUUUGUUUGUGGGUUUAUUUAUUGUGCAGCCCAAGCUCGAUCUUCCUUUAGCUGAUUUUAUAGUUUCGUGAUGUAUCAUGUAUGUAUAACAGUGUAAGAUUUGAUGGUUGUGAAUCUUGAUUCUAUUGUGUAAUUUUACGAAUUUAGGAUCUGGGACUAACUGAUGGCCUCAUUCAAUGAUUUUCCUCAGUAGAAUCUACGAUGUUAUGAUUUAGCAGUUAUGAUUAUGUGAUUUCAGAUCUUGUAUAGAGAUUACCUCGGAUCCUAUUAAAAUCUGCAAUUUUGACAGCCUAUAUAUCCAUUAUUUUAAAAAGCAAUUUAAAUAUGAAAAAUAUCCAAACAGCCCGGUGCAGUGGCGUUGAUCGGCGAUCUAGCCAUUUAGGUGCAGCUCAGAUCAGAAACUAUGGUUGCACACAUACAUGCACAUGACCCAUGAGCAUGAUGAUGGUACGGACUUGAAGAAGAGGGAUAGAUGACUUGUCCUCGAUGGUGCACGCAGAAACCGUGACAUCGCGAACGGGCUUGUGACAAGUUGAUCAGCUGAGUCUAGUAGCACCGGCCUCCAGAGGAGGUCAAGGGUUCGAUCCCCGGUGGGGACGAAUUUCGGUGGGUUUUUCAGGAUUUAUUCCUGAGUUGUUGUGGGUACACACGAGUUGGUAUUCCGUGUUUCCCGCGCAAUAAGGGUGGUAGUAGUCUCUCCAAUCUCAAAUCUGGUGUGUGUAUGGAUGUGCCUGUGUGUGCGCGCGGUGUGAGUGUGGUGUGCAUGGUUGUGUGCGGCCUAUGUAUGCACCCUCUCAAAAAAAAUCGUGACAUCCGUAUGUAUGUGACUAUCCAGAUUGCGUUAUAUCUACCGCGUGAGUCUACCAUCACGGCGUGCACCGCCGGCCGGUAUCUCUGCCUCCUCCCCCUAUCCGAUCUCACUCGUUUGUCGUUUCCCCUUUGAUGAUAUGGGCGCACUAGAUGAUGGGUCUGUGUACGUGGACGAUUCCACAGUGUUUGAUAGGACGGGUAUAAUCGUAAAAUGACCUAUGCUUUGAGAAGAAUUUAGCUCCAUAUCAAAUUAUAGGUUGUUUUGUGUUUAUAUUUUUUUCUACAUACCUAGAUAAACUCUAUAUCUAGAUACAUAUCAAAAUGUAUGAACUUAGAAAAAGAAAACAAACUUACUGUGCGGAAUAAGGGCAAAACAACUUAACUACGAAAUGACAAUCAAAAUGUAGUUACCGGAGUACGGUCAUGGAUGGAUUAUUUUAUUAUGACCAAACGCUACCCGAAAACCGACAGGAGAGCUCUAAAAGCCAUCAAGAUGUAAUUUUGUUGAAAGAAAGAGGAUUUUGAUUGAUUGACUAGAAUUGUGUGUUCCCCGGCUUAGCCAGGGCGCCUAAUUAGGUGGAAGAAGACCAAACCAUGUAGCACGGGCAUGUAUAGCUUAGCUUGAUGAGUGGGUCGCAAAAGGCAGACUCAUCAGUUUGACCGACGCGAACUACACGCAGAAGGCCAUGAGGGCAUCAACCCAUCAUCCAUGCGGCAGAAAGAAAGAAAGGGACGCCGGCCGGCCCGUGGGUCACGCACUGAUCGAUCGUCGAUUUGUACGUAGCGGAUAUGCUCUCUGCUUGCAAGACACGUAUCCAUCGGUCGUCCUCUGCUAGGGCACGGUUUUUUCAGCUUAUGGCUCGGUUGGGUUCACGCGUGUACGUCCCACGCACGCAGAGAUCCAUUAGCGCAACUGUUUCUCUAUCGCAGAAUGUCAAAAGGAUGGAGAGAGAUGGGUAGAAAAAUAAAGGCUGCAGAAGCUCAGAAAAGCUAGCAAGCAAAAGGCAUAAACGGAUGAGCAAUAAUGCCAUAUGCACGAUGUAGAAUGAUCGAGAUAGGGCUAUGGAUAUGAUUCCAUGACGACACCUAACACGGAUAGAACAAAAGCCUUGAUCGAAUGGAGAAAAAUGACGCGGUGAAAGUGAUAUAUACCAGGGGAACAACAUUAAAUGGAAAGAAACACACAAAGGAACAAAAGCUAGUAGCUUGGCUUUCCUGUCCAUACAAAUGCUUCUAUCCAGUAUUCCAGUUCAUCAAGUUUGUUUAUAACAAGAACUCUUUAUUGCGUUUUUUUACUCCACAGUUUACUGGUGGUGAAAAAUGUGUGAAUGACUACGACAAAGGAGCGAGCAAGAAUGACUAGCAAAUUGGACCAGACAAAUUCACGUAAUAUAAUUGCGUGCAAGCUGUGUCCAUGUGUUGACACAUAUGAUGGGCACUCCCACUUGGCCGGCAUACAGGGACGACGUGAACUGACGUUGCAUACGAUCGAUCUGUGCAUCUAUCCCAGUCUGUCGUGAAGGACAAUAGCAACCAGAAAUGGCACGGCAAGGAAACGAACAGAUCGAUCGACGGACUCCGAUGGCUCACGUUGCAGUAGUGACUGCCGGCCUGACUGACUGACUGACUGGGGCUUGAAGCCAAAGCUUCUCUCCCUCCCCUGAAAGCUUGAAUGACGCGUACGCGCGUGACAUGGCCCACACGGCCUGCGGCUCUGCUCCAUGGCCGGCCAGCGCUGGGGGUCGGAUUUGAGCUAGCCUCCUUGACCAGCAGUAGCAGCAAGGCAGAAACCAUGCAUGGACCGAUGAUCUGAUCAUCGAUGGAGGACGACAGGACCUCCGUAAUGCACAGUCAUGCUCAUGCAUGCAGCUCCUUUCAUUUCACUGCCUGCCCUCGUUAGCUGAUGAAACACAACUCAAGCCCAAUGCAACCCAAAGGCGAUAAACUUUGAAAGAUACGAGUAGCAGCAGACACGUACAGUGCAAACCUCGACCUCCUAUAUAUCCUCGACGUCACGUCAACUUGCCUAGCCGAGUACGAGUAGUCCUCUUCCACGUACAAGUGACAAAGCUGUUGUCGUCACACCGACGUGCAGCGCGUGUAUAGUAUUUUGCUUCGAUGUCAUCCCGAUGACUAGCUCCUCUGUCCGGCUCGAUGGAGCCAGCCAUGUCGUUCAGUGGAGGACGUGAUCCGUGAGGUAUUUGGAGUUCAACACACGGGACGGCAGGAGCACGGAAAACUUGGUCGGACGUCGUAUGUGCACGAAAGAAAGAGAAACAGUAUGGAGUACUAUGGACGAGGACCGGGUCCAUUAUUUCUGGAAGAUCGAGAGAGAAAAUAGAGAAGAAGAAGAUCGUCAAAACGUAGCAGCAGUCAGUGCGCUAACCCACCAGCAGUGUAGCGUGCAGUUUCAGACUCGCUACUCGUACGUGAGAGGAAACUUUGGCCGGCAGUGCGAAAAGAGCUAGAGCCUUGCUGGCUGCUGGCGACGACGACAAAUAGGUUUGCCGUGCACAAGUUAAACAAACGGGGUUCGUUCACAGAAUCACAGGUCACGAGUCAUGACCAUCCUGUGUGAGUGAGCGAGUGAGACCAUAUGACCCGUGCUGCCUACCUCAUCUAACCCAUAUCCACCUAGCUAUGUGCAUUGCACGAACUGGAAAAUCUGUCGCGUACCACGCUACGCAAAGCAUGCAUGCGUUACCCUAUUCCUUGCUAUAUAUUGUAGCCUACGGUACCCGGCCUAUAUCUCUAUAGGAUGCAGCUGCUACUGCUACUUCACGCUCUCUUGGAUUUGGCGAGAAUGAACUGAUGACAGGUGCCUUUCCAUGUGUUGGUUUGAGAGACUGGCAGGUAGCAGAGCUGUGCUUGUACCCUGCAUGGAUGGGAUCAUCACUGACUGUGGCCCUCCGUCCCUGCUGUUGUGAUUAUAUUGGUUAAUGAUCAAUUAGCCAGUUAAUCACGUCAUUAGCAGUUACUAAUACUUUUGUCUCCCAGUACAUUUUACUUUAACACGUUAUCAUGCACGUUCGCUCGGACACCACUGUGUUCGGCCAAAGAUUCACAGAAGAAAGAAGCGGCAAGCAAGAACAGUUUCUGUUCCUCGAGACCUCGAAUUCCCAUCGGCGACAAGCCUGGUUCUCCUGCUUGUUGCCGGCAGUCUGCAAAGACGGCGGAAUUCUCUUCGACUUCUUCAUCACCAGCGAGCAACACUGGAAGUUUGCCUGGUGCAUCGCCUGCAUCCAUUGCGGGACGAAUGCUCAAACAAGAACUGAAGCAGUUGGAGAAGAAUAAUAGAGGUAUCCGACCUCGCAAAUAAGAACAACGAACGGAAUGCCAAAAUGGUAUGCGUUUACUGCAUUGUUACCUUCCAUGGCAUCGUUGUUUACUCUCCUCUCUGGUCUGCAUCAUCAUUGCUCGCCCGUGCACGCUGCUCUGGCCGCAAUGGCGCUCGCCUGCAUCCCUGCGUUGUGGAACGGCUGCACCGGCGCUCGCGACCCACCGCUGCUAACGAUGGUUUCCCCCGCACGGCAGUUCUCCGCCCCGCGAUACCACUCGACCCUGCCUCCUUGGCCUCUCCUCAUGGAGGAGCCGAGUCGAGGCGUCGGCGACCGACGUCCACACCUGGGACGGCAGCGGGCGGUCCCAUCCGGGCCAUCCAAAUUCCAACAACGGGGAUGGAGCACGCUCGCUCGCUCCAGAUAUGCAGAGGCGGACGCUCGCACCCAGGACGGCGGCGGCAGCUCCGGCCCACGCACGGGACGCCGGUGGUGGUUGGCGGUUCCCGCCCGCAUCCGCGACGGCGACCCCAAGGCGCGGCGGCGGUGUUUGCUCGCUGACCCAGGAGGCGUGCGUCGUCCGGGUCUGGUGGGUCAUCAGGCGAUCGAUGAUCCAGUCCUUGGUCUUGGCGUGCAUGCCCCUGCGUUCGUUCGUGGGAGGCACCUUCCCCGCGCCUUUCCCUGCAGCCUCGUUCGGCCCAGCCACGUGCUCACAAGUCACAAACGCAACCCGACCUUUUGGCAGCAAGUGAGAGCAGUACCCUCCUUGCACUGCAAGGGCUCACUCGCUGCCAAAUCCAGCCCCGGCGCAUGGCCGGCAUCAUCAUUUAACUAACCGCAAACGCAAUCCUACGGCUGAUCGCUGGCUUUUGUUUUGUCACGUCGGCUUGCGUGCCCCGGGGCCUUGGCCACGCACGCCUGAUCGCUCGGCAGAUUAGAUUAGAGACAGGGCUUUACGUGAUCAGAUGUGGGUAGUUGGAUUAAGCUAACUGAACAGCAGGCGGAGUAGUUAGUUUAACAGUACUUAAUUACAGGAUAUACAGGCGGCAUGCAUCUGGAGCGCGUCAUCCCCGGCGCUUUGACCGCCCGCGCGCGUCGGCCCCAUGCCACACUGUCCCCGGCCGGACCUCUCGCCUGCUGCCGACGUGUAGCGCCGGCGAGACGUCCGGGUGGCGCGGCCCGCCGACGCAGGCGCUGGUUGGGUGGGGGUGCCCGUGGCCGUGGUGGCGCCUCGCCCCGCGGGGCCCCCACGUGCCCCCGCGUGGCCGCAGGGACCAAGCCGAGAUCGCCUUUGAUUAAAAAAAAUAAGAUGGGAAAUCCGGAGGGGAUGGAUGGAUUUGUCUCUACGAAAGCGCGGGAGGGAUUAAUAAAGAAGCGUCUGGCACGACAUGUGCGCACUGUGCAGGGUGUACGGUGCCACCGCACCGCACGAAGGACGGAGGCGACCAAGAAAAAGGCGAGGCGGGUGGCUCGGCGAGAGGGGACGAACGCGAACCCCACCGCCACCCGGGGGCACGGCACCUCGCCUGGCGUCACAUGGUCUUGUUAUUGUUAUCCGCGGCACCCACCUUGUUGAUCCAAUGAGAGCACCACCGCGCGGCAAGCGACGCCGGGAAAGAUCGCCGGAUCUCAAGCCACCCUAUUUAGGUGGGGCCGCCAGCGUCAUCGCUACCCAAUUAACCUGUUAACUAAUCCCAAGCUGAUCCAAAAGGUUUAUUAGUAGACUGCAUCAUGCGUUCACACGACCUCACAUACCUGCAGCAAAGGCUGGCGCCGUGCGCGUGGCCCACCCACCCCACCCCACCCCCACCACCGCGCGCGGCAACCUUUUUGGACGGGAUGGAUCCGCUUGUCUGGCCGGCCGUUGGGGGCAGCCCCGCCAUUACCGCGCUGCUCCAUCGCCCCGGCGCUACCUGCCAACCCUAAUUUAACCCCGAGUCUCGUACUGCUGACCCCCCGCAUUGAUUUCCGGCAACCGUACAUGCACGCACGCAUGCGUGCUUCGUCCUCGUCCGCUUCCCGCCGCGAACCCCGCGCGCCCGCCUUUUGUCGUUGCCUCCCCACUUCCCCAGGGCCCAGGCUCCCACCACCGCCACCACUACUGCCCACCCACUCGCCGUCGCCACCUACGCGUUAUAUAACCAACACCUCCCCGUAUCCUCCUCCCCUUCCCCUAGACACCCUCUCACCUCCUUCCUCGAUCGAGUGCCCAUCUCGAUUCCUUGGAGAAAUGCUUCAAGGCACAACCAUGGCCGUGCAUCAAGCGCGCUUCGGCGGCGGCCUCGCGGGGUGCCUUCCGCUUCCGCCCUGCGCCGGCGGCGGCAUCCUGGUCGAUGAGCAGACGUGGGCGCUCAAGGACUACGGGGCGCUCCUGUCGGCCGCGGCCAACGACGGUGGGUACCGGUACGACCGCGCCGCCCAGAGCGACCUGACGUGCAACGGCGGCGGCGGCGGCGGUGCGGUGGCCGUGCCGUCGCGGAAGCGUGGCAUUGAGGACGAGCUCGAGCGUUACUACGCGGCGGCCUCGUCGGCGGCGCUCCUGCCGAUCCCGGGGAUGCACGAGCCGAUCGCCGUCGCGCCGCAGUCGGCGGCGACGUUGGGCGCGGUGGCUGCGAGCCGGAUGGCGGAGUCGGCGACGGCGUCCACCAGCGGCCGGCCAGCCAUCCCGAUCGCGGCGUCGGUGGAGGACGCGCUGGUCGCAGAGUUGUGCCAGCAGGGCGCGGAGAUCGACGCGAUCGUGCGAGCCGAGUGCGACCGCCUCCGCGCCGGGCUGGAGCAGGCGCGCAAACGGCGGUGCGUGGAGCUGGUGCGCGCCGCCGCGGCAGGCGCGGCUCGCGUCCUGCGCGACAGGGAGGUGGAGCUGGCCGCCGCGCGCCGGCGCGCGGCGGAGCUGGAGGAGCGGCUGCGGCAGGCGUUCGCCGAGAGCCAGGCGUGGCGCGACGUGGCGCGCGGCAACGAGGCCGUCGCGGCGGGGCUCCGCGCCACGCUCGAGACCGUCCUCCUCGGCGGCGCCGGCGCCGGCGCCCUGGCGCCCACCACCAAGGAGGUGGAGGAGGAGGGCUUCGGCGACUCCGCCGACCCCGUCGAGGCGGCGGACGACGCGCGGUCGUGCUGCUUCGUCGAGGCCGAGGACGGCGCCGCCGCCGCCGCCCCGGCGAGCAGGUGGGCGUGCAGGGCGUGCGGCGGCGGCGAGGCGUCGGUGCUGCUGCUGCCCGUGCCGGCACCUGUGCCUCUGCAAGGCGUGCGAGCCCCGGGCCGACGCCUGCCCCGUCUGCCUCGCCGCCAAGAGCGGCGCCAUCCACGUCGCUUGACGGCUGAUGACCACACGCCCGGCGCGCCGUGGCGGCAGUUGGCUCCGUAGGCCUCGUGCUCGUCAGCUAACUCUCCAGACGUGUAAUGUAAUCAGUAGGCAGUUAGAUUAGAUAAGUUUGAUCGAUCCCGUUCCUCUGUUUCUUUCCGGGAGACUGACUGAAACGCCCGGCGGAGGAUUUAAUCUGUUCAUCGUUUCCUCUUCUCUUCGGGUGAGGGAUGAAGAAUGAGAAAUUAAAUUAAACAUGAUUCCUCAUGUUUCUGCCCUGUUUUUUCAGCUGAGUCGUUCUUGCUCUGCUUUUCACGCCAGAUGCAGGAAAAAGGUACACGCAUGCAUACCUUAGCAUACCACAUGCAUGUACGUGAAAGUUCAUGCAAGCAGCUUGCUUUCGUAUUUGAUGGAUUUGAACAAAAUCUCGUCAUACAGACACUAAGAGAAGACCCCUUUUUCGUUUUUGAGAUUAAGGGACGGAGGCAGUUCAGAUGAAUCAUGCCGGAUUCUUUCCUCAGGCAACAGUCGUAAGGUUCUCCGGGUAUGUCCCCACUAGAGUUCGGACUCGAUCUGCAGAGUUCCAAAUUCGUUUGACGUUGUAUGGAUUACCAAAUUCGUUUCAUUACGAUUUACUACGAGUUUACGACCGCAUCAUCGAGAUACGGAUCCUGCUCGUCCUCAUCGAUCGCCUGCCUGACGACCAUGCUGCCUAUCUUCUUCAUUACGUCGAGCUCGAGGAGGCGCCGCGAGGCCGAGGAGGCAGCGGCUAAAAGGGAGGCGGUGGAUGCUAAAUUGACGAAGGCGAUGGAGAUAUUCGCAGCAAUAUCAGGUGCUGGAGCGGGAGCAAAAGAAGAGACGGAAAAGGCAAACGAAGCAGCGGAAAAGGCAUCACCGCCGGCAUCUUGAUCGAGCUGCGACGUCGUCGUCGUCGUCUGCAACUUUUAAUUAGUUGGGUUCUUGGGCUGUACUACCAAAUAUGGGGGAAGGCAAGAGCAGCCGCGGAGAAAGCAAGAGAAACGGCGGCGGCGGCGGCAGUGCCAGCAGCAUCUCCCCGCCGAAGUCGCCGCUAAUCAUACCAUGGCGGCAUGGCGCACCACCGGCACCUUUAUCGAGCUGCGACGCCGUCUGCAGCUUUAGUUUGGUUGUUGGUGAGGUACUAGUGAAAUAUGGGAUCGUAUUAACGAACUAUGAUUGUUUAUC